rnacentral:rRNA from 1 species
CGGACGACGCUGGCGGCGUGCCUAACACAUGCAAGUCGAGCGAAUGAAGUUCCUUCGGGAACGGAUUUAGCGGCGGACGGGUGAGUAACACGUGGGCAACCUGCCUCAUAGAGGGGAAUAGCCUUCCGAAAGGGAGAUUAAUACCGCAUAAGAUUGUAGUACCGCAUGGUACAGCAAUUAAAGGAGCAAUCCGCUAUGAGAUGGGCCCGCGGCGCAUUAGCUAGUUGGUGAGGUAACGGCUCACCAAGGCGACGAUGCGUAGCCGACCUGAGAGGGUGAUCGGCCACAUUGGGACUGAGACACGGCCCAGACUCCUACGGGAGGCAGCAGUGGGGAAUAUUGCACAAUGGGGGAAACCCUGAUGCAGCAACGCCGCGUGAGUGAUGACGGCCUUCGGGUUGUAAAGCUCUGUCUUCAGGGACGAUAAUGACGGUACCUGAGGAGGAAGCCACGGCUAACUACGUG